GAUGAACGCUGGCGGCGUGCCUAAUACAUGCAAGUCGAGCGAACAGACGAGGAGCUUGCUCCUCUGACGUUAGCGGCGGACGGGUGAGUAACACGUGGAUAACCUACCUAUAAGACUGGGAUAACUUCGGGAAACCGGAGCUAAUACCGGAUAACAUGUUGAACCGCAUGGUUCAACAGUGAAAGACGGUCUUGCUGUCACUUAUAGAUGGAUCCGCGCCGCAUUAGCUAGUUGGUAAGGUAACGGCUUACCAAGGCAACGAUGCGUAGCCGACCUGAGAGAGUGAACGGCAACACUGGGACUCGGAAACGGUCCAGACUCCUAAGGGAGGCACAAGUAGGGAAUCUUCCGCAAUGGGCAAAAGACUGACGGAGAAACGACGCGUGAGUGAAGAAGGUUUUCGGAUCUUAGAACUCUGUUAUGAGGGAAGAACAAAUGUGUAAGUAACGAUGCACGUCUUGAUGGUACCUAAUAAGACAGCCACGGGUAACUAAGUG
rnacentral:rRNA from 1 species